GACUUCAAUAUUUGAAUGGAGUAGCCGUUAAAUUCAUUGCAGCGUUUAAAGUGGACAGAUUACGUUCUGUUAUUUUGGGACGCUUGGAUUUUAACAAUAGGUGGCGCUAGAAAACUUAUUUAGUACCGCUUAAGCUCAGCGAGAGAUUAGUCUACCCUGGUGGGGUAUUGAUCAGGGAAGAUUAGCGGGUUGUUCAAAAAUAUGGAGGAUGAUUUAGAUCGGGGACAUUUCCGCUGCAGCUGGCUUUAAAAGCUCGGAGGCGUGCAGUUUCGCUCUCUUUUCUUGUGUGCGCAGUCGUAAGGGAAAGUCGAGUCUACGUUUAUUUAAAAUCGGACGGAAAACAAAAAAGUGCUGAAAAGUGGAAAAAUAGUGAACAAGAGCCAGGAGCAUUUUCUGCGAGAAGCCCGGACUGUUGCAUUUAGCAGGAGCUAUCUGCGUUUGGCCAGCCGCCAAAUUCAACAUAUUUUAAAGGGGCCGGAUCUGCGGUUCGGCCCUCUUAAUCCUAAAUUAAAAAUAAAACGGAAAAAUCCGUUGAGGGACUAACAAAAUUGGCCAAAUGAGAUGAGUUGACGACAUACCCGAAACUCUUGUAUAUCUUCCCGAGCUUCGGCCCUGUCGCGGCAUCGAAAUACAUGUUUAAUUUAGAGGGUCGGUCUUGAGCCCUAGAAGAACACCAUGUCGCCACGAUCGCGCCGCAAAACCCUGGCCCAUUACUAUCUCGGAUCCUGUUAUUCUUGGCACACAUAAAUAUACCUUUUUGCCAGCUCAAGAAUUGGACUUUGAAUGAGAAUCACGUGUCUCUAACCUAAUUUGAUAUUUUCUUAAACACAAAACUGAAUUUUUAUAAAUAUUUCAUUAGUCAUUUAAGUCCAAAUCAAUUUGGAUUCCAAACCACAAGCAUCAUGUUUUCAAAUUUGUUUAUUUUUUAGUUAUAAGUUUAUCUAACCUAAAUUUCUCUCAGUGUAUAUAAACGCUCGUAUGCAAGCUUAAUGCUUUUAUAUGUAAGAACCAGUCUCCAGAAUCUUCUAACGAUAAGGAAUCUCUACACUUUUGAGCAGAUAACACAAAUUUUAAUGCCUAAUUUUGGGGAUGACCACUUUUAGGCCACUUUACAGCUUUCAGCCCUCGGAAGAUCGAUCUUUCUACGCUAGAUCAGGAGUGAAUACUGUGAGCCAUUUUUGUGCAUGUUUUUAUUAUAUCCUAAAUUCUCCCCUGAUUGGGAAAAAUUUUCUUUUGAUAAAUUUUAUAAUGAUCUGCAAAUAGUGUAGCAUACCUGGUCGUCAAUGAAUUUAAAAAAAAGUAAAUAACGUAAACUUAUUACAAAGCUUUAAGCUUGAACUAAAAGUACAUCAUUUAUCAUUCUGAUUGCGUUUAAUGAAAUAUCUAAGCCUCUUCAAGGUGUAUAUUUCCAAUGCCGAAGCUAUAAUUGUGAACUUUAAGAAAACUUUUAAAAAUCUUUUCGAAUCUUAUACUCAUUAGCAAGUUAGAAAAAAAACUGAAUCGAAGUCAUUUUUGAAGAAUUUUUGUUUUAUUAAAUUUAUCGAAGUAUUUUAGAACAUAUAUCAUUAUAUUAGCAUGUAAGUCUAUCUGAAAAAUUAAACCCUGUUAAUAUUGAACAAUGAAAACUAACUAAACCUUAUUCAUCUGAACUCAGCUAAUGACCUAGCGGUCGCAGGAUAAAGGGGUCAUCAGAGCCAGUCUCAAGGAUGAUGAUCAUAGGUUGGGAGGGUAAAUUUGGAGGCCACAUCUACACCAGUGGUUCCGCCUAGUUUACAUCUUCGCGCUCUCGUCCUUCUCUAUCCCCCUCUAUAAAAUUUGAUCUUCUAUAUACUUUACCGGUUCUAUCUUGCAAUUCUUAUGUCGCUAGCACGCUCAAUUCUUGACUUUAGAUUAUUAAUUUGUAACCUGGCCGAUCCGUCCGAAACAAGACCUCCACCCCCCAAGCCGACGAGCGAGAGCCGGACUCUAUAGCGUGCUCCUGUGAAGACGGGUCCCUUUCAUUACCCACACCGUUACACGUUACAGUUAUUUUUAUUAAUAAUCAUAAAGAAAAGUACUCUGUGAGUAAAGUAAACACUCAUUGGGACUUACGAAUAGAACUUCAAAUUUUAUUAUUCUUAUCCUUUUUAUCCAAAGGGCUGGCUAAACGCAGAAUUUAGUGAGGAUAACAGUUAAAAGGACAUUAGUGUCUUUUCUGGCCAAAGCUAAAUUCUGGAUUUAUC